AGUAUUAUGUCUGAUUUAAGUAAUAAAUUGUAAAUUUAUUUAAAAGAUUAAUUAUCUUUAAUACUA
rnacentral:tRNA from 1 species